rnacentral:rRNA from 1 species
ACUUGUGGGUGGAUUAGUGGCGAACGGGUGAGUAACACGUGAGUAACCUGCCCUUGACUCUGGGAUAAGCCUGGGAAACUGGGUCUAAUACCGGAUAUGACCUUCCAUCGCAUGGUGGUUGGUGGAAAGCUUUUGUGGUUUUGGAUGGACUCSCGGCCUAUCAGCUUGUUGGUGGGGUAAUGGCCUACCAAGGCGACGACGGGUAGCCGGCCUGAGAGGGUGACCGGCCACACUGGGACUGAGACACGGCCCAGACUCCUACGGGAGGCAGCAGUGGGGAAUAUUGCACAAUGGGCGCAAGCCUGAUGCAGCGACGCCGCGUGAGGGAUGACGGCCUUCGGGUUGUAAACCUCUUUCAGUAGGGAAGAAGCGUAAGUGACGGUACCUGCAGAAGAAGCGCCGGCUAACUACGUGCCAGCAGCCGCGGUAAUACGUAGGGCGCAAGCGUUAUCCGGAAUUAUUGGGCGUAAAGAGCUCGUAGGCGGUUUGUCGCGUCUGCCGUGAAAGUCCGGGGCUCAACUCCGGAUCUGCGGUGGGUACGGGCAGACUAGAGUGAUGUAGGGGAGACUGGAAUUCCUGGUGUAGCGGUGAAAUGCGCAGAUAUCAGGAGGAACACCGAUGGCGAAGGCAGGUCUCUGGGCAUUAACUGACGCUGAGGAGCGAAAGCAUGGGGAGCGAACAGGAUUAGAUACCCUGGUAGUCCAUGCCGUAAACGUUGGGCACUAGGUGUGGGGGACAUUCCACGUUUUCCGCGCCGUAGCUAACGCAUUAAGUGCCCCGCCUGGGGAGUACGCCGCAAGGCUAAACUCAAAGGAAUUGA